UAUUGCACAAUGGGGGAAACCCUGAUGCAGCGACGCCGCGUGAGUGAAGAAGUAUUUCGGUAUGUAAAGCUCUAUCAGCAGGAACGAGACAAGACGGUACCUGACUAAGAAGCUCCGGCUAAAUACGUGCCAGCAGCCGCGGUAAUACGUAUGGAGCAAGCGUUAUCCGGAUUUACCGGGUGUAAAGGGAGCGCAGGCGGUACGGCAAGUCCGAUGUGAAAGCCCGGGGCUCAACCCCGGGACUGCAUUGGAAACUGCCGCACUAGAGUGCCGGAGAGGUAAGUGGAAUUCCUAGUGUAGCGGUGAAAUGCGUAGAUAUUAGGAGGAACACCAGUGGCGAAGGCGGCUUACUGGACGGUAACUGACGCUGAGGCUCGAAAGCGUGGGGAGCA
rnacentral:rRNA from 1 species